rnacentral:rRNA from 1 species
CAGCAGCCACGGGAAUACGGAGGGUGCAAGCGUUAAUCGGAAUUACUGGGCGUAAAGAGCUCGUAGGCGGUUUGUCGCGUCUGCCGUGAAAGUCCGGGGCUCAACCCCGGAUCUGCGGUGGGUACGGGCAGACUAGAGUGAUGUAGGGGAGACUGGAAUUCCUGGUGUAGCGGUGAAAUGCGCAGAUAUCAGGAGGAACACCGAUGGCGAAGGCAGGUCUCUGGGCAUUAACUGACGCUGAGGUACGAAAGCAUGGGGAGCAAACAGGAUUAGAUACCCCCGUAGUCCCUGUCUCUUAUAC